UACGGAGGGGGCAAGCGUUGUUCGGAAUUACUGGGCGUAAAGGGCGUGUAGGCGGAUCUGCAAGUCAGAGGUGAAAGCCCCGGGCUCAACCUGGGAACGGCCUUUGAUACUGCAGAGCUAGAGUCCAGGAGAGGAUAGUGGAAUUCCCAGUGUAGAGGUGAAAUUCGUAGAUAUUGGGAAGAACACCAGUGGCGAAGGCGGCGAUCUGGACUGGUACUGACGCUGAGGCGCGAAAGCGUGGGGAGCAAACAGG
rnacentral:rRNA from 1 species